rnacentral:tRNA from 1 species
AGUUCAGACUGUAUCGAACUGCAAAUUCGAUUUUGGGUUAGAUUCCCCUGGACUU